CCUACGGGUGGCAGCAGUGAGGAAUAUUGGUCAAUGGGCGGGAGCCUGAACCAGCCAAGCCGCGUGAGGGAAGAAGGUACAGCGUAUCGUAAACCUCUUUUGUCAGGGAACAAAGGCGGGGACUAGUCCCCGGAUGAGGGUACCUGAAGAAAAAGCAUCGGCUAACUCCGUGCCAGCAGCCGCGGUAAUACGGAGGAUGCGAGCGUUGUCCGGAUUUAUUGGGUUUAAAGGGUGCGCAGGCGGCCUGUUAAGUCAGCGGGAAAAGCCCGGGGCUCAACCCCGGCGAGCCGUUGAAACUGGCGGGCUGGAGUUGGAGAGAAGUACGCGGAAUGCGCGGUGUAGCGGUGAAAUGCUUAGAUAUCGCGCAGAACCCCGAUUGCGAAGGCAGCGUACCGGCUCCACACUGACGCUGAGGCACGAAAGCGUGGGUAUCGAACAGGAUUAGAUACCCUAGUAGUC
rnacentral:rRNA from 1 species